AGGAUUAAGUGUUAGAUGGUUUCAACUAUAAAUUUUCGAGAAAUUUAUAAUUAGGUUCGAUUCCUAUUAAUUCUA
rnacentral:tRNA from 1 species